rnacentral:rRNA from 1 species
GACGAACGCUGGCGGCGUGCUUAACACAUACAAGUCGAACGUGAUUUUUGUGGAAAUUCUUUCGGGAAUGGACAUGAAAUGAAAGUGGCGAACGGGUGAGUAACACGUGAGCAACCUACCUUACACAGGGGGAUAGCCGUUGGAAACGACGAUUAAUACCGCAUGAGACCACAGAAUCGCAUGAUAUAGGGGUCAAAGAUUUAUCGGUGUAAGAAGGGCUCGCGUCUGAUUAGCUAGUUGGAAGGGUAAAGGCCUACCAAGGCGACGAUCAGUAGCCGGUCUGAGAGGAUGAACGGCCACAUUGGAACUGAGACACGGUCCAAACUCCUACGGGAGGCAGCAGUGGGGAAUAUUGCACAAUGGGGGGAACCCUGAUGCAGCGACGCCGCGUGAGCAAAGAAGGUUUUCGAAUCGUAAAGCUCUGUCCUAUGAGAAGAUAAUGACGGUAUCAUAGGAGGAAGCCCCGGCUAAAUACGUG